UACGUAGGGCGCAAGCGUUGUCCGGAAUUAUUGGGCGUAAAGAGCCCGCAGGCGGUGGAGUAAGUUUGGAGUGACAGUUCCCAGCUUAACCGGGAAAGGACUUCGAAAACUGCUCGACUUGAGGACUGGAGAGGAAGGCGGAAUUCCGGGUGGAGCGGUGAAAUGCGUAGAGAUCCGGAAGAACACCGGUGGCGAAGGCGGUCUGCUGGGGUAAUGCUGACACUGACGCUCAUGCACGAAAGCGUGGGGAGCAAACAGG
rnacentral:rRNA from 1 species